rnacentral:rRNA from 1 species
UGGGGAAUCUUGGACAAUGGGGGCAACCCUGAUCCAGCCAUGCCGCGUGAGUGAUGAAGGCCUUAGGGUCGUAAAGCUCUUUCGCCUGUGAAGAUAAUGACGGUAGCAGGUAAAGAAACCCCGGCUAACUCCGUGCCAGCAGCCGCGGUAAUACGGAGGGGGUUAGCGUUGUUCGGAAUUACUGGGCGUAAAGCGCACGUAGGCGGACCAGAAAGUUGGGGGUGAAAUCCCGGGGGCUCAACCCCGGAACUGCCUCCAAAACUAUUGGUCUAGAGUUCGAGAGAGGUGAGUGGAAUUCCAAGUGUAGAGGUGAAAUUCGUAGAUAUUUGGAGGAACACCAGUGGCGAAGGCGGCUCACUGGCUCGAUACUGACGCUGAGGUGCGAAAGUGUGGGGAGCAAACAGGAUUAGAUACCCUGGUAGUCCACGCCGUAAAACGAUGAGCACUCGGUGCCGC